rnacentral:rRNA from 1 species
GGACUACUCGGGUUUCUAAUCCUGUUCGCUCCCCACGCUUUCGCUCCUCAGCGUCAGUUACGGCCCAGAGACCCGCCUUCGCCACCGGUGUUCCUCCUGAUAUCUGCGCAUUUCACCGCUACACCAGGAAUUCCAGUCUCCCCUACCGCACUCAAGCCAGCCCGUAUCGACUGCAGGCCCGGAGUUGAGCCCCGGGUUUUCACAGUCGACGUGACAAGCCGCCUACGAGCUCUUUACGCCCAAUAAUUCCGGACAACGCUUGCACCCUACGUAUUACCGCGGCUGCUGGCAC